rnacentral:rRNA from 1 species
GCCGGUGGUUCAAGCGAAGAGGGUACACCCGUUCCCAUCCCGAACACGGAAGUUAAGCUCUUCAGCGCCGAUGAUACUGCGUGGGCAACUGCGUGGGAAAAUAGGGCAGUGCCGGCU